rnacentral:rRNA from 1 species
GACGAACGCUGGCGGCGUGCCUAAUACAUGCAAGUCGAACGCAGUGGGGACGGGUGAGUAACACGUGGGUAACCUCCCAUCAGAGGGGAUAACCCUUGGCAACAGGUGCUAAACCGCUACUGAUGGAUGGACCCGCGGGGCAUUAGCUAGUUGGUGGGGUAACGGCUCACCAAGGCCACGAUGCAUAGCCGACCUGAGAGGGUGAACGGCCACAAUGGGACUGAGACACGGCCCAGACUCCUACGGGAGGCAGCAGUGGGGAAUCUUGGGCAAUGGACGAAAGUCUGACCGAGCAACGCCGCGUGAGUGAAGAAGGUUUUCGGAUUGUAAAACUCUGUCGGUAGAGAAGCGGUAUCUAACCAGAAAGCCACGGCUAACUACGUGCCAGCAGCCGCGGUAAUUC